UGGCUCAGGACGAACGCUGGCGGCGUGCCUAAUACAUGCAAGUAGAACGCUGAAGAGAGGAGCUUGCUCUUCUUGGAUGAGUUGCGAACGGGUGAGUAACGCGUAUCCAACCUGCCCUUUACUUGGGGAUACCCCGUUGAAAGACGGCCUAAUACCCGAUGUAAUUCAUUGAUGGCAUCAGAUAUGAAUAAAAGAUUUAUCGGUAAAGGAUGGGGAUGCGUCUGAUUAGCUUGUUGGUGAGGUAACGGCUCACCAAGGCGACGAUCAGUAGGGGUUCUGAGAGGAAGGUCCCCCACAUUGGAACUGAGACACGGUCCAAACUCCUACGGGAGGCAGCAGUGAGGAAUAUUGGUCAAUGGACGGAAGUCUGAACCAGCCAAGUAGCGUGCAGGAAGACGGCCCUAUGGGUUGUAAACUGCUUUUAUACGAGAAUAAUUUGAUGCACGUGUGCGUUAUUGCAUGUAUCGUAUGAAUAAGGACCGGGCUAAUUCCGUGCCAGCAGCCGCGGUAAUACGGAAGGUCCAGGCGUUAUCCGGAUUUAUUGGGUUUAAAGGGAGUGUAGGCGGUUUGUUAAGCGUGUUGUGAAAUUUAGGUGCUCAACAUUUAACUUGCAGCGCGAACUGUCAGACUUGAGUACACGCACGUAUGCGGAAUUCAUGUGUAGCGGUGAAAUGCUUAGAUAUCAUGAAGAACUCGAUUGCAUGCAGCAUACGGAGUGUACUGACCGCUUAGCUCGACGUGCGGUAUCGAACAGGAAUAGAUUCCUU
rnacentral:rRNA from 1 species